rnacentral:rRNA from 1 species
CUCGGGGUUACAGCCUUGCUGAAUUAUUCACCCUUGUCUUUUGCGUACUUCUUGUUUCCUUGGUGGGUUCGCCCACCACUAGGACAAACAUAAACCUUUUGUAAUUGCAAUCAGCGUCAGUAACAAAUUAAUAAUUACAACUUUCAACAACGGAUCUCUUGGUUCUGGCAUCGAUGAAGAACGCAGCGAAAUGCGAUAAGUAGUGUGAAUUGCAGAAUUCAGUGAAUCAUCGAAUCUUUGAACGCACAUUGCGCCCUUUGGUAUUCCAAAGGGCAUGCCUGUUCGAGCGUCAUUUGUACCCUCAAGCUUUGCUUGGUGUUGGGCGUCUUGUCUCUAGCUUUGCUGGAGACUCGCCUUAAAGUAAUUGGCAGCCGGCCUACUGGUUUCGGAGCGCAGCACAAGUCGCACUCUCUAUCAACAAAGGUCUAGCAUCCAUUAAGCCUUUUUUUCAACUUUUGACCUCGGAUCAGGUAGGGAUACCCGCUGAACUUAAGCAUAUCAAUAAGCGGAGGAAA